AGAUGAGAUUGUGUGACAGUGUGAAGCCAGUGGACCUGAUGCUGAAGAUAACGUUCCUGCUGGUGCCUCUAAUCAUGUUGGUAUUCAGAAGAUGCCCACUGAAACACCUCCUGAAGUUCCUCAAGGAAAUGAGUCUGGAACAAAGAUUGGGAACCCAUGAAUAAGUCGAAGAGUGUGUUGGUCCAAUGCUGAGAUUACAGCUGUGAUGAAACUUUUGAAAGCACAUAUAACUAAAGGGAAACUCGGCACUUUGUCUGAAUGCCAGCAGUGUUAGACUUUGUAAGAAAUGGAGGUCUUUGCUUGAAAAGCAAAGCCCAAAAUAAGUGAUACACGAGCCAGUACGUCAUUUCUUUGAGAUUUUUUUGUCCACUUAUUUUGUUUUUCAUUUACAUAUGCAGCAGAUUGUUCUUAAAUUCUACAGUUGUUCUUAAAUUCUGCUUUAACAUUUUAUUUUGAAUAACUGGUUUAGGUUUCAUGUUUUAUUGAUUAUAUAUAUAGCUAUGCCUUGUUUUAUUUAGAUUGUUUUGAAUGGUUCAAUGGAUUAAGAUGCCUAUGAAAGUACACAGUU